rnacentral:lncRNA from 1 species
CUCAUAUCCCAUGCCCAAUCUUUUUAUCAUUUUUUUCGAAGUAUAAAAGCUCCCAACAAGCUUCUCAUUUUUCGAUAAUAUUUUCUUUAUUAUUGCUACCAUUCUAUCAUAACAAUUAACCAUCAUAUUAAACUUGGCCAUCAAGUUUAACAACUCUAACACAGCUGAUAAUAUAAGACCAACCGCAUCCAUAACUAUGUCUACCAUUCUAUCUGUGUCCCUAUCCUGCUUGCUUCUAAUCCUUACAACUUUCUUUCAUGUCUCCCUAGGCAGGUACUAAUACUUAUAGUUGGGCAUAAAUCCACUCUUAUACAAAUGGAUAGUAAUUGUAUCCCUAUCAAAUAUUUUUUUAUUGCUACAUCCAUUACAAGGACAAUGAGCCUAUCCUUGAUGUAAGAGUGCUGCAUUCUCAAAAGUAAAAUC